GGGUUACCGAGUGUAGGGUUCCUAGCGAGCCCAACCUCCCACCCGUGUUUACUGUACCUUAGUUGCUUCGGCGGGCCCGCCAUUCAUGGCCGCCGGGGGCUCUCAGCCCCGGGCCCGCGCCCGCCGGAGACACCACGAACUCUGUCUGAUCUAGUGAAGUCUGAGUUGAUUGUAUCGCAAUCAGUUAAAACUUUCAACAAUGGAUCUCUUGGUUCCGGCAUCGAUGAGAACGCAGCGAAAUGCGAUAACUAGUGUGAAUUGCAGAAUUCCGUGAAUCAUCGAGUCUUUGAACGCACAUUGCGCCCCCUGGUAUUCCGGGGGGCAUGCCUGUCCGAGCGUCAUUGCUGCCCAUCAAGCACGGCUUGUGUGUUGGGUCGUCGUCCCCUCUCCGGGGGGGACGGGCCCCAAAGGCAGCGGCGGCACCGCGUCCGAUCCUCGAGCGUAUGGGGCUUUGUCACCCGCUCUGUAGGCCCGGCCGGCGCUUGCCGAACGCAAAUCAAUCUUUUCCAGGUUGACCUCGGAUCAGGUAGGGAUACCCGCUGAACUUAAGCAUAUCAAAGCCGGGGGAGGAAA
rnacentral:rRNA from 1 species